rnacentral:rRNA from 1 species
UACAGAGGUCUCAAGCGUUGUUCGGAUUCAUUGGGCGUAAAGGGUGCGUAGGCGGCGCGGUAAGUCGGACGUGAAAUCCCUCAGCUUAACUGGGGAACUGCGUCCGAUACUGGAUGGCUUGAGUUUGGGAGAGGGAUGCGGAAUUCCAGGUGUAGCGGUGAAAUGCGUAGAUAUCUGGAGGAACACCGGUGGCGAAGGCGGCAUCCUGGACCAACACUGACACUGAGGAGCGAAAGCCAGGGGAGCAAAGCGGG